rnacentral:tRNA from 1 species
UGGUCCCGUGGUGUAGUGGUUAACAUGCCUGCCUGUCACGCAGGAGAUCGCCGGUUCGACCCCGGUCGGGACCGCCCA